UACGAAGGGGGCUAGCGUUGCUCGGAAUUACUGGGCGUAAAGGGCGCGUAGGCGGAUAGUUCAGUCGGGGGUGAAAGCCCGGGGCUCAACCUCGGAACUGCCUUCGAUACUGGCUAUCUUGAGUACGGGAGAGGUGUGUGGAACUCCGAGUGUAGAGGUGAAAUUCGUAGAUAUUCGGAAGAACACCAGUGGCGAAGGCGGGUCUCUGGGCCGAUACUGACGCUGAGGAGCGAAAGCAUGGGGAGCGAACAGG
rnacentral:rRNA from 1 species